rnacentral:rRNA from 1 species
GACCGCGUAUGUCUAGCCCGCCGGGGCAACCCGUGUGAGUGCUGGAAUGUUACCGGUCAUCCGUCCGGAUCACUCCUCUGCUCUUUACUGAGUUGGAGGGCAAGUGCUUCGGACCUUUUACUUUGAACAAAUUAGAGUGUUUCAAGCAGGCGUUGUUUGCGUUGAAUACAUUAGCAUGGAAUAAUCGAAUAGGACUUUGGUCCUAGUUUUCGUUGGUUUCAAGGACUGAAGUA